GUCAGAAGAGAAACAGAAGCAGAGACAUCCAAAGUAUUUUUAUGUUGAUUCGUGGGAGUCUAAGAUGUAUGGAAGAGUCUCUGAGGGACCACGUAUCAUUUUUCAUGUAUUCCUUUCAUCAAUGAAUGCUUUGGACUAAGGAACGGGUCUCUGUGCUGAUCUGUUAAGAUCACCUUGACUCAGCACAUCUGUAGCCCAAUGGAAGAAAGAAAAUAAAGACAUUGGAGGAGGCUUUGUUGAAGAUCUCCAGUCUUGAUGCUGAUUAUCGAUCAGGUGAUUAAGGCAGAUGAAGAGGUUUUUUGAAAGCUGAAGCCUCUGAUUGUGUCUCUCCAGUGUGCCCCGAAAGGGGUUGGGAAAUCAAUACCCUCAAUCACAGCAGAGAGCAUUUCUCUGUCAGUCACACAGGCAGAAGUGAUUAGAAUUGAGUCAUAAGGCAAUGAAUAACUAGCACUGGCUUCCUGCUCCUUUUUUUCAC
rnacentral:lncRNA from 1 species